rnacentral:lncRNA from 1 species
ACCCACUAUAAGCCAUGGACCAUUAUAUUGGACAGUUCUCAAACUCUCCCAUAGGAAUACUCUUUGCUGGAUGGAAUGCAGGCCAUAGACAAAGGUGAUGUAGCUAGCAAAAGUGGAGUUCUUGUCUGUCACCCAGCAGUGAAUCAUUUGAUAAGUGGUUUCUAGAGGUACAACAUGGACAUUUGACAAUUUCCACAUUAUCCAUAUCCUCCCAUUAGGUGCACAAGCAUAGUUAUUUUCAAUGUUCCAUUCACCCCUAG